GAUGAAGAACGUAGCGAAAUGCGAUAAGUAAUGCGAAUUGCAGAAUUUCCGUGAGUCAUCGAAUCUUUGAACGCACAUUGCGCCCGCCAGUAUUCUGGCGGGCAUGCCUGUCUGAGCGUCAUUUCAACCCUCAUACCCCUAGGGCGUGGUGUUGGGGAUCGGCCAAAGCCCGCGAGGGACGGCCGGCCCCUAAAUCUAGUGGCGGACCCGUCGUGGCCUCCUCUGCGAAGUAGUGAUAUUCCGCAUCGGAGAGCGAUGAGCCCCUGCCGUUAAACCCCCAACUUUCCAAGGUUGACCUCAGAUCAGGUAGGAAUACCCGCUGAACUUAAGCAUAUCAAUAAGCGGAGGA
rnacentral:misc_RNA from 1 species